GACGAACGCUGGCGGCGUGCUUAACACAUGCAAGUCGAACGGAAAGGCCCUGCUUUUGUGGGGUGCUCGAGUGGCGAACGGGUGAGUAACACGUGAGUAACCUGCCCUUGACUUUGGGAUAACUUCAGGAAACUGGGGCUAAUACCGGAUAGGAGCUCCUGCUGCAUGGUGGGGGUUGGAAAGUUUCGGCGGUUGGGGAUGGACUCGCGGCUUAUCAGCUUGUUGGUGGGGUAGUGGCUUACCAAGGCUUUGACGGGUAGCCGGCCUGAGAGGGUGACCGGCCACAUUGGGACUGAGAUACGGCCCAGACUCCUACGGGAGGCAGCAGUGGGGAAUAUUGCACAAUGGGCGGAAGCCUGAUGCAGCAACGCCGCGUGCGGGAUGACGGCCUUCGGGUUGUAAACCGCUUUCGCCUGUGACGAAGCGUGAGUGACGGUAAUGGGUAAAGAAGCACCGGCUAACUACGUGCCAGCAGCCGCGGUGAUACGUAGGGUGCGAACGUUGUCCGGAUUUAUUGGGCGUAAAGGGCUCGUAGGUGGUUGAUCGCGUCGGAAGUGUAAUCUUGGGGCUUAACCCUGAGCGUGCUUUCGAUACAGGUUGACUUGAGGAAGGUAGGGGAGAAUGGAAUUCCUGGUGGAGCGGUGGAAUGCGCAGAUAUCAGGAGGAACACCAGUGGCGAAGGCGGUUCUCUGGGCCUUUCCUGACGCUGAGGAGCGAAAGCGUGGGGAGCGAACAGGCUUAGAUACCCUGGUAGUCCACGCUGUAAACGGUGGGUACUAGGUGUGGGGUCCAUUCCACGGGUUCCGUGCCGUAGCUAACGCUUUAAGUACCCCGCCUGGGGAGUACGGCCGCAAGGCUAAAACUCAAAGGAAUUGACAGGGCCCCGCACAAGCGGCGGAGCAUGCGGAUUAAUUCGAUGCAACGCGUAGAACCUUACCUGGGUUUGACAUGGAUCGGGAGUGCUCAGAGAUGGGUGUGCCUCUUUUGGGGUCGGUUCACAGGUGGUGCAUGGCUGUCGUCAGCUCGUGUCGUGAGAUGUUGGGUUAAGUCCCGCAACGAGCGCAACCCUUGUUCACUGUUGCCAGCACGUUAUGGUGGGGACUCAGUGGAGACCGCCGGGGUCAACUCGGAGGAAGGUGGGGAUGACGUCAAGUCAUCAUGCCCCUUAUGUCCAGGGCUUCACGCAUGCUACAAUGGCUGGUACAGAGAGUGGCGAGCCUGUGAGGGUGAGCGAAUCUCGGAAAGCCGGUCUCAGUUCGGAUUGGGGUCUGCAACUCGACCUCAUGAAGUCGGAGUCGCUAGUAAUCGCAGAUCAGCAACGCUGCGGUGAAUACGUUCCCGGG
rnacentral:rRNA from 1 species